rnacentral:rRNA from 1 species
GACGAACGCUGGCGGCGUGCCUAAUACAUGCAAGUUGAGCGAUGAAGAUUGGUGCUUGCACCAAUUUGAAGAGCAGCGAACGGGUGAGUAACGCGUGGGGAAUCUGCCUUUGAGCGGGGGACAACAUUUGGAAACGAAUGCUAAUACCGCAUAACAACUUUAAACAUAAGUUUUAAGUUUGAAAGAUGCAAUUGCAUCACUCAAAGAUGAUCCCGCGUUGUAUUAGCUAGUUGGUGAGGUAAAGGCUCACCAAGGCGAUGAUACAUAGCCGACCUGAGAGGGGGAUCGGCCACAUUGGGACUGAGACAAGGCCCAAACUCCUACGGGAGGCAGCAGUAGGGAAUCUUCGGCAAUGGACGAAAGUCUGACCGAGCAACGCCGCGGGGGUGAAGAAGGUUUUCGGAUCGUAAAACUCUGUUGGUAGGGAAGAACGUUGGUGGGAGUGGAAAGCUCAUCAAGUGACGGUAACUACCCAGAAAGGGACGGCUAACUACGUG